AUUCUGGUUCUGCUGAAAUUGUUUGGUAGACCAGGCUGGCUUGAAACUCGCCUCCUGCCUCUGCCCCCAGGCGCUGGGUUUAAAGGUGUACACCACUACUGACUGGCUGGCAAGGCUCAUCGCUUGCUUCAGUCUCCUACAAGCUGGGGUUUUUGGAAUGUAUCAGCAUACCCAUUUUAAGAGCCAGCUUUUGAAUUAAGGAAUGUUGAAUUAAGUAAUUCGUGAAUGGUUGUAACAGAACAGUUCCCUUCUGACUACUUAUCACUCACUGAUAAGAGGCUAAGGUAGGAUGGUGAGUUAGAGGACAGUCUUGGGCACACAGUUCUAAGCCAGCUUUGGGCCCCGUGGAGUCUGGAAAAUUGGGAGUUUGAAUCGGGAAGGCUAAAAUGACAAGAUUAAGAUCAUAGGGAAGGAGCUGGACAUUUUUUUUUUUUUUGUUUUAUACUUUUCAUGUGUCUUAGGCUGGCCUUGAACUCUCGUUCUUCGUGUCUUAAUCUAUGGAGUACUGUAUUUACAGGUCUCCUGUGCCUACCUACUUACUUAGGAUGCUGUCUUACUAUGUAUGUAGCCUUAGCUGACCUAGAACUCAGAUCCAGGUGCCCCUGUCCUCCAGCCCCCACAGUUCCAAACAGGAACUCAGUAGUCCCCACCUUCAUUCCUCAGUGGCAUCAGUAUCUUUCAGUCCUGACAGAGUGAUGGAUCUUAGGCUUGAUUCUUUCCUUUCUGAAUCAGCCUUGAGCUUUAAGUAGGUUGAAGAUGCUGUAACUCCAUAGUGCUGGGAUCACAGGCAUUUGCCUCCAGGUUUGCUUUUCAAGAGUUUUUGUUUGCAUUUCUGGCUUGGAUUUCGUAAACUGUCGGAAAGUUUUAGCUUGGUGGUGUUUUAGCUUGGUGUUACAGCAGAGUUUCCAGCACUUUGCAAAAUGACCUUAAACACUGCUUCCAUGUUAUAUUGUGUUUAUGUAAAGCAGUGUUCUCUGAAUCGACUCUGAAAUUAAAAUAUCAGCCAGCUCUGAAUAAUGCUGAAGGCGCUCUGCAGCUUACAGGAUCAAAUGCUCACCCAAAAUUGUUAUGUAAGAAGCACAUCCAUUUCUUCCAUCUAAAAAUAAACACCCUUGUGAUUAAUUAACUG
ensembl:lncRNA